UCAGCUUACAACUAUCAAGCUAGAUCAUUAACAGUUAUCAUGACAUCAUGAAAGAUCCUGCGGAAGGCACUUCAAUGAAAAAAAAUCAAUACAGAAUUCAUGUAAAGAAGACGGCGGCCCGGAACCUUCGCAGCCGUCUCCUUUUUCCAUCCUUGAGUCGAGUCGUGCAAGUGCUGAUUUUCUGAUGCUAUGUCAGCCUUUGAGUUUUCCUUCACCUUCAGCGACCUGUGCGGUGAUGUCGGUGCGGCUAUUGAGCGCACGCUACGAUAGUGCGCGUGAAAACCUUGAACCGCGCUGACUUGUACCACCUUUUCUCAUGUAUCGAUCCCACGUCUGCUGGCUAAUUAAGACGCGGCCGCUAGCGGAUGCCCGCGCAGUCAGAGCCGCACAUGUACAAAAGUGCGGGGCUAGUCGGCGGGGGGUGGGGGGGCCUGGGAACCGCGGAAGCGGCUAAUCCAUAAGCUGCUAAUGCGCGAUUGCGCUCAUCCCCUCCGUGUCAUUCCCAACAUUGUCUUGUUUUAUUCCGUGUCACCUUUGACCUCCUGUUUUUUGUUUUUUUUUCCCUCCGUCCUCAACCCUGACCCAUCUUAUUAAUGUGACAUUACAAAGAAAACAACAGCUGUUCACUGUAAGCCGUCGCGGUUUGACUUGUACCUCAAGGGCAGCUCACAAACACGCUUCAACUGGAGUUUUAUUUUAACCCUCAACCAUUGGAGGGUCUCAUGGUCGUUUUAUUUUCAUCUUAAUUUUCAACACCGCCUGCCCGAGUUGAGUAGAUUUGCACAGGUUUGGUCAUGUGACCUCUGCAAAAUAUUUUCACGCACAUACCUGGGGUCAAAAGUUUGCAACUUGGAGAUAAAUCACAGCUUUUGCAAUGCACAAAUGAGCACCGUGUCGUUGGGCAAACGUUCAGCUGGAGUGACUCUGUAAUUGCCUUCCACCGGGCUCCUUUCUUGUCACGCGGAACACAAAGUCAAACUGAUUCUCUUCGUGUUGUUUGUGUCUUGGCAACAAUGCUAUCCCUGUUUGCAGCCAUGUUGCGAGUGCGGGCCAUGCAUGUCAGCGAGGCCGCGCUUUGAGCUAAGGAAGCCCCCCCGUCCCCCCAAAUCCUUUAAAUCUAUUAAGUGGCCAGCUCUAUUUUAGCCCGGGCAAUUUCAUCUUUUUUAUAACUUGUACAGACUUUUGGCAGCUUUUGUGGUUUGGCAAGUCCAUGUUUGCAUACAUGCAUUAAAAAAAAAAAAAAAGUUAAAAUGGGGGGGCCUGAGACCACAAAACAGUGAGUUGACAGUGAUUGAAAACGAUGACCAUGGGCGGGUUUCUGCGGCUCCACCAAAGGCUGAAGCGAAAUCGAAUUACUCGCGUAUGCUGAGCAAAUGAUGACACACUUACGUUUGGAAGGCAAGCUAAGGGAGAGAGAGUGCCAGUGAGUUGAAGUUCCGGCGUGUUCAAUCAUUAAACCAUAAGGCCUCUCAUUAUUGAACAGGACCAGGCCCGGACGUGCACAUUUUCACCGCCUGCGCGUUUUUUGCUGACGACGUCUCUCUGAGGAUUGGUCACAUUAGCGCAAUCAUUUCUACCCAAAUGGAGAUUUAAAAUGGCAAAGUCUCCAGGGCUCUGUCGUUUUACACCAAAUAUGAAAUGAUAAAAACCUGCCAAGGAGCCUCUCGCAUUGGAAGAUAUGUCUCUCUAUAUCUCAAUUAAUAUCGAACAUCUCCAAGCAGCAUUGAGAAGAAAUGGGAGGUAAAAUUCUGUUGGGUGACCAGCAGGGGCGCUAUUGGUCCGCUUUACAACUACAGCAGGCUGUUUAGGCUGACUAAAAAAGUAAUGGAGCGCGAAUUAUUCUGCUCAUCAUCCAAUUCAUCUGCUUUCUAAAUCUCCACGCCUGUCCAGAGUUGUGCGAUAUCGGAACUGGUGGGUUACUACGGAGGAUUUUACCGUUUUAUGUAGAUCUAGAGGAUCCCAAAUACUGUAGAUGCCGCCCAAACGUUUUAUCCUUCGAUCGCGUUUCGAAAGGCUUCUUUGAAGAGCCGUGCGAGCGCUUCUGUCCGAAAGUUCAUUUAAUAUGAAGUGAAAAGCCCUUGUCUUUCUUCUAUGGCGGAGAGAUUGAUAUAUUUAAGCCGUGACUGAGUAAAGCAGCCUCCCUUGGCUUGCGGCCUCAACCUAUUCCCUCUCAAGCUGGCCACGGUCACAAGCUGUAAUGCGCCUCCGUGCUGUAUAAAUGCAUAGUGAAGGCCUCCGGAAGAAACCUUCCAAGACGCCUCACAUGUUCUGACAAGUGAUAGAUCUGACACAGGCAGGUGAGAGGUGGAGAGGAAAGAUCAAGGCGGCCGAGGAGAAACUUUGGCCUCGCUGAAAGUUUUGAGAG